UUCCAGACUCCUACGGGAGGCAGCAGUGAGGAAUAUUGGUCAAUGGUCGGGAGACUGAACCAGCCAAGCCGCGUGAGGGAGGAAGGUACAGAGUAUCGUAAACCUCUUUUGUCAGGGAACAAAGGCGGGGACGUGUCCCCGGAUGAGUGUACCUGAAGAAAAAGCAUCGGCUAACUCCGUGCCAGCAGCCGCGGUAAUACGGAGGAUGCGAGCGUUAUCCGGAUUUAUUGGGUUUAAAGGGUGCGCAGGCGGUCUGUUAAGUCGGCGGUCAAAGCCCGGGGCUCACCCCCGGCGAGCCGUUGAAACUGGCGGGCUGGAGUUGGAGAGAAGUACGCGGAAUGCGCGGUGUAGCGGUGAAAUGCUUAGAUAUCGCGCAGAACCCCGAUUGCGAAGGCAGCAUACCGGCGCUCAACUGACGCUCAUGCACGAAAGCGCGGGUAUCGAACAGGAUUAGAUACCCCGGUAUG
rnacentral:rRNA from 1 species